rnacentral:lncRNA from 1 species
GGAAAGGCUGUGAUUUGUGCACCCUGCCGCCUGGGAGCUGCAGAGAUUCUCUCCGGCUGCCCGGUGUGUGGCCCAGGACCACGCUGGUGUGCAGGCUGCAGCACCCGAUGGCCUUGUUUGCUUUACACUCAGUGUUGCCACAGAGCAUCCUGGAACCAUCAGAUAAGGGAGCCAUUCUCCGCUGAGCGGAAGCUGGAGCAGAGGACGGAGUUGUGUGGUGUGUCGGAUGACUGCCCCCCAGUGUCCUGUAUCAAUAGCUGGAGCUUGGUAAGGCUUACAGUACCUCCUGACAUCCUCACAACCGGUUGUGAAGCAAGUCUCAGACCGGAUUCUGUCCCACAAGCACACCAUCUACAGAGCAUGGAAAGUUCAUCCAAGACAAACAGGACUGGAAUCAUUUAAUGGGGUCAGACAACCCUGGACGCUCCAGACCAGGGCCUGGGAGUCACCCGGGACAACAUUCAUGGGCAUUCAGGCCACUGGAGUCACAGCACUCUUAUGUUCUACGCAUGCAAAUGAGAGACUGCUGCCAUCGCAUUUCUAGCCAAUUUACAUCUCUUAAAUACAAUUUCGCAUGUCUGACCUCAUGCAUGAAAAUGAUGUGCUCACAUCUAUUUUACUAAUCUCAAAGCCACCAGUGUGGAUCUGCCACAGGGAGAGCUGACGCCCUCACGGAAGCUGCCUCUGGAGGGAGCAGAGGCUGUUGCUCUCCCAACAGGACAGCGGUGGCCCCCGGGGCUGGAAGUAUUUAGAGCGUAUUCCAGACCAGGCGACAGUCCUAUCGCAUAAGACGCAUAAGACGGAAAGUCCUGCCCUUGCCCCAGGGUGCCUGAGGAUGUGGGGAGAGUCUGCAUACCCUGACACUGUUUUCCUGCUCUCAUCCGAGACACAGCCGACAUCCUGGCUGUUCACCUCUUUCUCCUGCAGCUGCACUUCAGGCUGCCAAGCUCUCUGAGAAAUGAUCCUUCAGGUAUGGUGUGGUCUGUCUGUUGAUUCCCCAAAGCCUGAAACUCAAGAAGUGGGGGUUUGUUUACCUGAUGCUAUUGAACAUUUGUAUCAAGGAAAAUUUCAGUGUAAACAAACAAACAACAAAAGCAAAUAUAAAACGGAGCCCAGCUCUCCAUCCUAGUAAGGUCCACUGGACGUGUGCCAGCACACAGAGCCUUUAGGGGCCUGGGCCUCCUCUCCUCUCCUCCUAGACCUGGCCAGCACAGACCAGCUCAGCAUGUUUACACACCCUUCCUCCAAACCCUCUUUUCCUCAAGUUCCAGCUUCUUCCAGUGGAGAGAAUUGAAAAUCCAUUGACAUGAAAAAGUUCGCCCCUCAGAGCUGGACUCACCUGUAAGGACACAGCCUUGUAUUUUUCCACAGAAUAAUUACAGUGUUCCAUCUUGAAUUUGAGUCGAUCCUCCAAUGGUGGGGCAGCCCCCUGUGGGUGAUACAUGGUCACAUUGAAUCCUCCCUGGGUCUCCAAAUGCCUCUCUCAGAAGGACAAUGUCGACAUCUACCCUCAGGACCACAGGAAGGAAAGUUCUGGUAAUUUUAGAGUGACCAUUUUGACUUAGAGUCAACCUCCGAUGUUCAGAAACGUUGAGGCUCAGUCUCAAAAUAAAUAAGACACAUUCAGUUAGAGCCAUGCGGCAUCAUGCCC